rnacentral:misc_RNA from 1 species
AACGCACGAGACCUGCGGACCUGCGGAAGGAUCAUUAAUGAGAAGCUGCCCCUCGUGGGUAGACCUCCCACCCUCUGUGAACUUACCUUUGUUGCUUUGGCAGGCCCGUCCUCUGGACCGCCGGCUUCGGCUGGCCCGUGCCUGCCAGAGGAUUCCAAACCCUGUCUGUCAGUGUUGCCUGAGUCUAUAUGAAAUCGUUAAAACUUUCAGCAAUGGAUCUCUAGAUCGGAAGAGCACACG